rnacentral:rRNA from 1 species
ACUGUGGAACACAGUGUCAGUUCGGCUGGACCGUCACAGGUGGUGCAUGGCUGUCGUCAGCUCGUGUCGUGAGAUGUUGGGUUAAGUCCCGCAACGAGCGCAACCCCCGUCGCAUGUUGCCAGCGGUUCGGCCGGGGACUCAUGCGAGACUGCCGGUGACAAACCGGAGGAAGGUGGGGAUGACGUCAAGUCAUCAUGCCCCUUAUGUUCAGGGCUACACACGUGCUACAAUGGCCGGUACAAACCGUCGCGAUGCCGCAAGGUGGAGCUAAUCGGAGAAAACCGGUCUCAGUUCGGAUUGCGGGCUGCAACUCGCCUGCAUGAAGUUGGAAUCGCUAGUAAUCGCGGAUCAGCACGCCGCGGUGAAUACGUUCCCGGGCCUUGUACACACCGCCCGUCACAUCACGAAAGCCGGCUGUACUAGAAGUCGCUGCGCUAACCCGCAAGGGGGGCAAGCGCCUAAGGUAUGGUCGGUGAUUGGGGUGAAGUCGUAACAAGGUAACCGU